GCGACUGGAAGUUCUGGGCAUUCACGGAGCCGAACUCCACGAUCUCAUCCUCCACCUGCAGGCCCUGAGAGGAAAACAUGGAACCAGGGGCAAACAUUAAGUUCAAGUGCAGCUGUGAGGACCUCGUGAUGCAACACACAGCCUUCAGGCACACAGGCGGCUGGCAGAAAAUGACAUCCGGGCCUCCCAAAUUUUAGCUUCCUGCCAUCCCCUCGGCGCAUCCCAGUCCAGCCUAUUUGAGCGGAAUUAAGUUACCCUUCUUUUGCA